AGGCCGUCACUGCUGCUAAUCUGCAACUCUGUUGAGCACACACUGGAAUUGCACUUUAGCAAUGGUGAUGGA
rnacentral:pre_miRNA from 14 species